CCAGUUUUAAUCAUAGCAUUAUAAUUCACAAUUACAAAAAUGCAAAAGAAUAAGAAACUACAAAAUGCCAUAAUUUUGUUGCUAAUAAUAGUGAUUAUAAGAUGUACUAUAUAACGGUUGCAACGGAAAUAAACAUCGCAAACGCAUAGCAAAUAAUGCGAGGGAUGAAGUUCCUAGCAAUUAUUGCAACGUAUUUGCUACAGAAAAGGUUCUAGCAAUUUGUGAGUAUUUUGCGAGAGAAUCAAAACGUAGCAAAAUCUGCGAGGAAUUUGCAGCGUUGACCAUUUUGCGAGAAGCGAUUUGCGAGGAAGUGCCUUCCGCCGCAAAUCCCUUGUUUUAGUCGUUUUGCGACGGAAUAGCUAUGUUUUCGUCCCUCGCUAAACGUGUGUUUUCUUGUAGUG
rnacentral:lncRNA from 1 species